rnacentral:rRNA from 1 species
UACGAAGGGGGCUAGCGUUGCUCGGAAUCACUGGGCGUAAAGCGCACGUAGGCGGAUUGUUAAGUCAGGGGUGAAAUCCCGGGGCUCAACCUCGGAACUGCCUUUGAUACAGCACGUCUCGAGUCCGGAAGAGGUGGGUGGAAUUCCUAGUGUAGAGGUGAAAUUCGUAGAUAUCGGGAGGAACACCAGUGGCGAAGGCGGCGACCUGGGCCAAUAUUGACGCUGAGGUGCGAAAGCGUGGGGAGCAAACAGG